ensembl:snoRNA small nucleolar RNA, C/D box 50B
ACCCAGAGAUGAAUCUAUCCCGAAGCUGAUUUGCUGAAGAAAAGCAUUACGGAUUCGGCUUCUGAGAA